GCGUGUUGGACGGCUCGGUU
rnacentral:rRNA from 1 species